rnacentral:rRNA from 1 species
CCUACGGGAGGCAGCAGUGGGGAAUUUUGGACAAUGGGCGCAAGCCUGAUCCAGCAAUGCCGCGUGCAGGAUGAAGGCCUUCGGGUUGUAAACUGCUUUUGUACGGAACGAAACGGUCCGCCUUAAUACGGUGGGCUAAUGACGGUACCGUAAGAAUAAGCACCGGCUAACUACGUGCCAGCAGCCGCGGUAAUACGUAGGGUGCGAGCGUUAAUCGGAAUUACUGGGCGUAAAGCGUGCGCAGGCGGUUAUAUAAGACAGAUGUGAAAUCCCCGGGCUCAACCUGGGACCUGCAUUUGUGACUGUAUAGCUAGAGUACGGUAGAGGGGGAUGGAAUUCCGCGUGUAGCAGUGAAAUGCGUAGAUAUGCGGAGGAACACCGAUGGCGAAGGCAAUCCCCUGGACCUGUACUGACGCUCAUGCACGAAAGCGUGGGGAGCAAACAGGAUUAGAUACCCUGGUAGUCCACGCCCUAAACGAUGUCAACUGGUUGUUGGGUCUUCACUGACUCAGUAACGAAGCUAACGCGUGAAGUUGACCGCCUGGGGAGUACGGCCGCAAGGUUGAAAACUCAAAGGAAUUGACGG